rnacentral:rRNA from 1 species
GGCUGCGAUCAUACAAGGACUAAUGCACCGGAUCCCAUCAGAACUCCGAAGUUAAACGUGCUUGGGCGAGAGUAGUACUAAGAUGGGUGACCUCUUAGGAAGUCUUCGUGUUGCACCCA